CACGAGGGUUUCACUGUUUUAAAAAAUCUCCAAUGAAAUUGAGAUUGGGGUGAAGACGCCCCAUCCAAAUUGUAAGACGAGAAGUCCCCAUGGAACUUUACUGGAGGCUUAUAGUACGGAUAUUAAAAUAAAGGCUGAAGGGUCUUUUUUGUUUUUCUAGAAGGGUUUAAGGUAAGAGGGACAGUUUCAUUGGGGCGAUGGCUUUUUAAAAAGUAACAAAAGUGAGCUAGAAAUAUAAGUUUGAUUGUGAGGGAGAGGGCCCGAGCAGACACUCUAGGUGGGCGGAAGUGACCCGUUAUUUUUGAAUGAAAAAGUUAACGAUAAACA
rnacentral:rRNA from 1 species